rnacentral:rRNA from 1 species
GUGAACGCUGGCGGUAGGCCUAACACAUGCAAGUCGAACGGCAGCACAGUAAGAGCUUGCUCUUACGGGUGGCGAGUGGCGGACGGGUGAGGAAUACAUCGGAAUCUACUUUUUCGUGGGGGAUAACGUAGGGAAACUUACGCUAAUACCGCAUACGACCUACGGGUGAAAGCAGGGGAUCUUCGGACCUUGCGCGAUUGAAUGAGCCGAUGUCGGAUUAGCUAGUUGGCGGGGUAAAGGCCCACCAAGGCGACGAUCCGUAGCUGGUCUGAGAGGAUGAUCAGCCACACUGGAACUGAGACACGGUCCAGACUCCUACGGGAGGCAGCAGUGGGGAAUAUUGGAUAAUGGGCGCAAGCCUGAUCCAGCCAUACCGCGUGGGUGAAGAAGGCCUUCGGGUUGUAAAGCCCUUUUGUUGGGAAAGAAAAGCAGCAGGUUAAUACCCCGCUGUUCUGACGGUACCCAAAGAAUAAGCACCGGCUAACUUCGUG